UUUACCUGGGGGGCAGCAGUGAGGAAUAUUGGCCAAUGGACGCAAGUCUGAACCAGCCAUGCCGCGUGCAGGAAGACGGCUCUAUGAGUUGUAAACUGCUUUUGUACGAGGGUAAAUGCAGGUACGUGUAUCUGUUUGAAAGUAUCGUACGAAUAAGGAUCGGCUAACUCUGUGCCAGCAGCCGCGGUAAUACGGAGGAUCCAAGCGUUAUCCGGAUUUAUUGGGUUUAAAGGGUGCGUAGGCGGUUUUAUAAGUUAGAGGUGAAAUCUCGGGGCUCAACUCCGAAAUUGCCUCUAAUACUGUAG
rnacentral:rRNA from 1 species